rnacentral:siRNA from 1 species
AUCUAUAUCCAAAUUGACGUA